rnacentral:rRNA from 1 species
UAAUUUUUUACAAUAAUUAGUUCUAAACUGUUCAAUUCAGUUUUAUCUGAAGGGCUUAUAUUUACUAAUUUUUAAAGCUUGAAAAAUAAAAUUAUUUAUUGUUUACAUUCAUUUCUAUAAAAUUACUUAGUAUUUUAACUGUAAGGGUUAAUGAUAAAUUUUUAAAAAGAAAAUUUUUUUAUUGUACCUUUUGUAUCAGGGUUAAUUAAUUUUAUUUUUUUAAAAAAAUUUUCCCGAAAAUUUCAAGAUUUUAAUUUUUUUGUUUUUAAUUGUUUCAAAAAUUUUAAAAAAAUUAAUUAAGUUUUGAAACGAAAAUCGUUUAUUUAGAUAUCUGGUUAUUAAGAAAUUAAAUUUAAUUUAGAUGAUUUAUAUAUAAAAGAUUAUUUUUUAAUUAUAUUUUUAUUCAUUAAUUUAAAUUGGGUUAAUCUAAUUUAAUUUUUAUAAUUUUUUUUUACUAGGGAAAUUGUAGGAUUAAAAUUUUUUUUUAUUAAAUUUUGUUUUAAAAUAUUCCUAUUUUUUAAAAAAUUAUUUAAUUUUUUACUUAAUUAAUAAAUUAAAUUAGAUUUUUUGUUAAAAAUGAUAAAAUUAGUAGAUUUAAAAUUUUAAUUUAUGAAUUUGGCAUUAUUUUUUUCGCCUGUUUAACAAAAACAU